CCAAUAGCGUAUAUUAAGGUUGUUGCAGUUAAAAAGCUCGUAGUUGAAUUUCGGGAUUGACACAUCGGUCGUGCCUUAAGGGGUGUGAACUGGUGUAGUCAAUUUCUCACCUUCUGGAGAACCGCGAUGUCCUUAAUUGGGUGCCGCGAGGAACCAGGACCUUUACUUUGAAAAAAUUAGAGUGUUUAAAGCAGGCAUUUUUGCUUGAAUACAUUAGCAUGGAAUAAUAAAAUAGGACGGCAUGAUUCUAUUUUGUUGGUUUCUAGGAUCACCGUAAUGAUUAAUAGGGAUAGUUGGGGGCAUUAGUAUUCGAUUGUCAGAGGUGAAAUUCUUGGAUUUAUUGAAGACUAACUACUGCGAAAGCAUUUGCCAAGGAUGUUUUCAUUAAUCAAGAACGAAAGUUAGGGGAUCGAAGACGAUCAGAUACCGUCGUAGUCUUAACCAUAAACUAUGCCGACUAGGAAUCAGACGAUGUUAAUUUUUUAAUGACUCGUUUGGCACCUUACG
rnacentral:rRNA from 1 species